rnacentral:rRNA from 1 species
GACGAAGGGGGCUAGCGUUGUCCGGAAUCACUGGGCGUAAAGGGCGCGUAGGCGGCUCGGUCAGCGUGCGGUGAAAGCCCGGGGCUCAACCCCGGGUCGGCCGUGCGAACUGCUGGGCUGGAGCACUGUAGAGGCAGGUGGAAUUCCGGGUGUAGCGGUGGAAUGCGUAGAGAUCCGGAAGAACACCGGUGGCGAAGGCGGCCUGCUGGGCAGUAGCUGACGCUGAGGCGCGAAAGCUAGGGGAGCAAACAGG